rnacentral:rRNA from 1 species
ACGUAGUUAAUCUGCCCUAAAGGCCGGGAUACCUUCGGGAAACUGAGGAUAAAACCGGAUAUUUUAUGGUUUCUGGAACGAACCAUAAUUGAAACGAUCUUUAGGAUGAGACUGCGGCUGAUUAGGUAGUUGUUGAGGUAAAAGCCCAACAAGCCUAUGAUCAGUAAGGGCUCUUAACGGAGAGGCCCUGAGAAGUGCUCUGAGACACUAGUACUAGCUCUAUGGAGUGCAGCAGUUAGGAAAAUUUUACAAUGCUCGAAAGAGUGAUAAAAGAAUCCAAAGUGUUUCUCAUUACGAGAAACUUUUCUUUUGUGUAAAAAGCAAGAGGAAUAAGGACUGGGCAAGACCGGUGCCAGCCGCCGCGGUAAUACCGGCGGUCCGAGUGGUGACCACAUUUAUUAGGUUUAAAGCGUUCGUAGCUCGCUUAGAAAGUUUUUUGUGAAAUGUUAUUGCUUAACAAUAACGCGUGCAAGAAAUACUGUUAGGCUUGAGACUGGGAGACGUAACGAGUACGGUUGGGGUAACGGUAAAAUGUUUUAAUCCUGAUUGGACUAACAACUGGCGAAGGCACGUUACGAGAACGGAUCUGACGGUGAGGAACGAAGGCCAGGGGCGCGAAAAGGAUUAGAUACCCUUGUAGUCCUGGCUGUAAACGCUGCAUACUAAACAUUGUGCCCUCUUUGGGAGGGUGCAGUGCUGAAGAGAAAUCGUUAAGUAUGCUACCUGGGAAGUAUAGUCGCAAGAUCGAAACUUAAAGGAAUUGGCGGGGGGGUGCUACAACGAGUGACGCGUGCGGUUCAAUUAGAUUCCACACCGUGAACCUCACCAGGAGCGAUAGCAGAAUGAAGGUCAGUCUGAAGGGCUUACCUAACACGCUAAGAGGAGAUGCAUGGCCGUCGUCAGCUUGUGCUGUGAAGUGCCCUGUUAAAUCAGGUAACAAGCGAGACCUGCAUGUGUAGUUGCUACGGUAAGAGCACACUACACAGACUGCUUGGGUAACCAAGAGGAAGGUGCAGUCAACGAUAGGUGAGUACGUCCCAAAUCCCCUGGGCUACACGCGCGCGGCAAUGCUGCAUGCAAUGAGAUGCAAUGCCGAAAGGCAAAGCUAAUCCCUUAAAAUGCAGCUCAGUUUAGAUUGAAGCUUGUAACUUAGCUUCAUGACAAUGGAAUUCGUAGUAAUCGGAUUUUAUCAGAGUCCGGUGAAUAGGUCCCCGCUCCUUGCACACACUGCCCAUCAAACCAACCGAGUUAUGUUUAGAUGAGGUUCAUUAGAAAAGAAUUUAGGUAUAGCGAGGUAGGUUAAGUUGACACAAGGUA